UACUUUUAAAUAAGGAAGAGUUUGUGGUGGAUGCCUUGGGUCUGGAAGUCGAUGAAGGACGUGAUUACCUGCGAUAAGCCUCGUAGAGCUGGAAAUAUGCUAUGAAACGGGGAUUUCCGAAUGGGGAAACCUAACUAUGGUAAUGCAUAGUUGCUUAUGUCUGAAUACAUAGGACAUAAAGCGAGAUACCUUGUGAACUGAAACAUCUUAGUAGCAAGAGGAAAAGAAAAUAAAUAAUGAUUUCUUUAGUAGCGGCGAGCGAACGAGAAAGAGCCCAAACCAUUUUAAAUGGGGUCAUAGGACAGACUACAUAGAGUUACAAAAUUUAAUAAUAGCAGAAGCUUUUGGGAAGAAGCGGCACAGAAGGUGAUACCCCUGUAUGCGAAAUUAUUAAAUCUCUUGACUGUAUCCUGAGUAGGGCGGGGCACGUGAAACCCUGUCUGAAUUUGCCGGGACCACCCGGUAAGGCUAAAUACUAACCAGACACCGAUAGCGAACUAGUACCGUGAGGGAAAGGUGAAAAGAACCCCGAGAGGGGAGUGAAAUAGACUCUGAAACCACUUACUUACAAUUAGUCAGAGCCCGUUAAUGGGUGAUGGCGUACAUCUUGCAGUAUGGACCGGCGAGUUACUUUAGCAUGCAAGGUUAAGCAGAUAAAAGCGGAGCCGUAGAGAAAUCGAGUCUUAAUAGGGCGAUUAGUAUGCUUGAGUACACCCGAAACCAGGUGACCUAUUCAUGAGCAGACUGAAACUUAGCUAACCCUAAGUGGAGGGUCGAACCGUAGUACACUAAAACGUGCCCGGAUGACUUGUGAAUAGCGGAGAAAUUCCAAUCGAACUUGGAGAUAGCUGGUUCUCCUCGAAAUAGCUUUAGGGCUAGCGUGUAGUGUUAAAUAAUGGUGGUAAAGCACUGAAUAUGGAAUGGCCUCGCCUAGGGGUACUGACUAUAAUCAAACUCUGAAUACCGUUAUGAAUUGCUAUGCAGUCGGAACCGGGGUGCUAACGUCCCGGCUCGCGAGGGAAACAACCCAGAUCGUCAGCUAAGGUCCCAAAAUCGUGUUAAGUCAGAAAGGUUGUGAGGUUUCAUAAACAACUAGGAAGUUGGCUUAGAAGCAGCCAUCUUUUAAAGAGUGCGUAAUAGCUCACUAGUCAAGAGACCUUGCGCCGA
rnacentral:rRNA from 1 species